GUAUCAACAAGUGUCAAAACAUUGCAGAAAUUUCUAAAGCGUCAAGUGAAGCCAACAAGUGAAAAGUGAAUCUGUUGUUAUAAUCUGAAGCAAGCAUAAAAUGGAAGCAUCGUGUAUGAGUUCUCUUGAGACAUCAAAACGAACCGGGCAAUUCUACCGCCGGAUUCAGAAGCGCACUGCUGAAGAAGAAGUGCUAGAGGAAGAAGAAUACAGCAGGAGCGGUGUGGAAAAUGAUUUGUCACACACCAACGGAGACAUCUCAAAGAAUGGAGCAGCUUUUUAUUACCAACAGAAAUUGAUGUUAACUGCUUCAUAUCAAAUGGUUGUACAUUGUU